rnacentral:rRNA from 1 species
GAUGAACGCUGGCGGCGUGCCUAAUACAUGCAAGUCGAGCGAACAGACGAGGAGCUUGCUCCUCUGACGUUAGCGGCGGACGGGUGAGUAACACGUGGAUAACCUACCUAUAAGACUGGGAUAACUUCGGGAAACCGGAGCUAAUACCGGAUAAUAUAUUGAACCGCAUGGUUCAAUAGUGAAAGACGGUUUUGCUGUCACUUAUAGAUGGAUCCGCGCCGCAUUAGCUAGUUGGUAAGGUAACGGCUUACCAAGGCAACGAUGCGUAGCCGAACUGAGAGGGUGAUCGGCCACACUGGAACUGAAACACGGUCCAGACGCCUAAGGGAGGCAGCAGUAGGGAAUCUUCCGCAAUGGGCGAAAGCCUGACGGAGCAACGCCGCGUGAGUGAUGAAGGUCUUCGGAUCGUAAAACUCUGUUAUUAGGGAAGAACAAAUGUGUAAGUAACUAUGCACGUCUUGACGGUACCUAAUCAGAAAGCCACGGCUAACUACGUG